CAGAAUACCACAGAUUUGGCAGCUUAAAUAACAGAACAGUAUUUUCUCACAGUUAUAGAGACUAGGAGUCCAAGAUCCAGGUGCCAAACCAUCAUGUUUGAUUUCUGUUAAGACUUCUCUUCUCAGUAGGAGCAGCUUACACACAACUUAUGAGAGCCAUAUUGGACACCAAGGACCUUGUUCUCCAAGUAACAGGAAUCUGUGGUCUGAUCACUGAUUGCUACUUCUGACUGUGGAGGUUCACACAUACUGAGAACCAGACAUUUAAGGACCAGGAUAUUCAAACAACAGCAUAUAACAAGGAAAAAUAUAAACUCAGUAAAGACCUGAGAAGACCUUAAGUUUACACCUAAAGCUUACAUCCCUGGCAGAGAGACACCUGUCAACAACAAGCAAACCCUGGGAAAGCGGGAAAAUUGAAUCUCCAGAAUUACCACGUUAUAAGAUGCAAGUGUCCAGUUUUCAACAACAAGAACAACAAAAUCACAAGGCACACCAUAAAAAAGAGCAGUAUAAUCCAUUCAAGGGGAAAAAAUAAAUGAACAGAAACUAUCCCUGAGAAAUAUCAAAUGGUGGAUUUACUAGACAAACUAAAACGAUCUUCAAAAUACUUGAAGAGUUAAUAAAAGACAUGGACAAAGUCAAGAAAACAACAUGUGAAGAAAAUGAAAUAUCAAUAGAUAGAAAACAUAAAAAAGAAACCAAAAAGAAAUCCUGGAACUAAUAUUACAAUAGCUGAAAUUAAAAAUUUACUAGAGUGAUUCAGAGCAGAUUUGACAGAAGAAAACCAAUGAACUUGAAGAUAGGACAAUUGAAGUUAUUGAAUCUGAGGAAGAAAAAAAAAUGAAGAAAGUGAACACAGCCAAGGGACCUAUGCAACACCAUCAAGCUCAUGAACAUAUGCACUGUGGUAGUCCCAGAAAGCAAAGAGAGGAAAGAGGGACAGAGGGUUUAUCUGAACAAUAAACAACAACAACAAAAAAUUAUGAAAAACGUGAAUACAAACAUCCAAGAAGCAGAAUGAACUCCAAGUAAAAUAAACUCAAAGAGACCCACAGGAAGGUGCAUUAUGAUCAGACUUUCAAGAGCAAAAGACAAAGAGAGGAUCUUGAAAGCAGCAAUAAAGAAGUGACUCAUCACAUACAAAGGAUCCCUAGUAAUAUUAUCAGCAGAUUUCUCAUCAGAAAUCUUGGAGGCCAGGAGACAGUGAGUUGAUAAAUUCAA